GGAAACCCUGGUGGAAGCCCGAAGCGAUUCUGACGUGCAAAUCGAUCGUCUGAUUUGGGUAUAGGGGCGAAAGACUAAUCGAACCAUCUAGUAGCUGGUUCCCUCCGAAGUUUCCCUCAGGAUAGCUGGAACCCGAGUGUGCAGUUUUAUCAGGUAAAGCGAAUGAUUAGAGGUCUUGGGGUUGAAACAACCUCAACCUAUUCUCAAACUUUAAAUAGGUAAGAAGUCCGACUUGCUUAGGUGAAGCCGGACGUUGAAUGCAGGGUUCCUAGUGGGCCAUUUUUGGUAAGCAGAACUGGCGAUGCGGGAUGAACCGAAAGCCGGGUUAAGGUGCCAAAGUCGACGCUCAUCAGACCCCACAAAAGGUGUUGGUUGAUCCAGACAGCAGGACGGUGGCCAUAAAAGUCGGAA
rnacentral:rRNA from 1 species